GGCUCAGGAUGAACGCUAGCGGCAGGCUUAACACAUGCAAGUCGAGGGGCAUCGGGAGUAGCAUACUGCCGGCGACCGGCGCAAGGGUGCGUAACGCGUGAGCAACAUGCCCGUAUCAGGGGGAUAAUCCAUGGAAACGUGGUCUAAUACCCCAUAGUAAUUAUGUAAGGCAUCUUAUAUAAUUUAAAGCUUUGGUGGAUACGGAUUGGCUCGCGUGACAUUAGCUGGAUGGUAAGGUAACGGCUUACCAUGGCUACGAUGUCUAGGGGUUCUGAGAGGAAGGUCCCCCACACUGGAACUGAGACACGGUCCAGACUCCUACGGGAGGCAGCAGUGAGGAAUAUUGGACAAUGGAUGGAAAUCUGAUCCAGCCAUGCCGCGUGCAGGAAGAACCGGCCCUAUGGGUUGUAAACUGCUUUUGUAUGGGAGCAAUAAGGGCUACGUGUAGUCCGAUGAGAGUACCAUACGAAUAAGCACCGGCUAACUCCGUGCCAGCAGCUGC
rnacentral:rRNA from 1 species